CAGAGUUUGAUCUGGCUCAGGAUGAACGCUAGCUACAGGCUUAACACAUGCAAGUCGAGGGGAAACGACAUCGAAAGCUUGCUUUUGAUGGGCGUCGACCGGCGCACGGGUGAGUAACGCGUAUCCAACCUGCCCACCACUUGGGGAUAACCUUGCGAAAGUAAGACUAAUACCCAAUGACGUCUCUAGAAGACAUCUGAAAGGGAUUAAAGAUUUAUCGGUGAUGGAUGGGGAUGCGUCUGAUUAGCUUGUUGGCGGGGUAACGGCCCACCAAGGCUACGAUCAGUAGGGGUUCUGAGAGGAAGGUCCCCCACAUUGGAACUGAGACACGGUCCAAACUCCUACGGGAGCCA
rnacentral:rRNA from 1 species